rnacentral:lncRNA from 1 species
CAGGUCCUCUACCGGCUUAUUCCUGUGCCGGAUCUUCAUCGGCACAGGGGCCACUGAGACGUUUCUGCCUCCCUCUUUCUUCCUCCGCUCUUUCUCUUCCCUCUCGUUUAGUUUGCCUGGGAGCUUGAAAGGAGAAAGCACGGGGUCGCCCCAAACCCCUUCUGCUUCUGCCCAUCACAAGUGCCACUACCGCCAUGGGCCUCACUAUCUCCUCCCUCUUCUCCCGACUAUUUGGCAAGAAGCAGAUGCGCAUUUUGAUGGGGUCUUAUUUUUGUGGUAGAUAGCAACGAUCGUGAAAGAAUUCAGGAAGUAGCAGAUGAGCUGCAGAAAAUGCUUCUGGUAGAUGAAUUGAGAGAUGCAGUGCUGCUACUUUUUGCAAACAAACAGGAUUUGCCAAAUGCUAUGGCCAUCAGUGAAAUGACAGAUAAACUAGGGCUUCAGUCUCUUCGUAACAGAACAUGGUAUGUUCAAGCCACUUGUGCAACACAAGGAACUGGUCUGUAUGAAGGACUUGACUGGCUGUCAAAUGAGCUUUCAAAACGUUAAAUGAAAUUGGAUAUCUAACCAAGGACAUGUUUGAUAAAAUUGGUCUAGGCUUGUUACAACAAAAUUAGUUUGUAUCUUGGUUAUUAAACAGUAUCUGGGACUGGUUUGGGCAGAAUAUUAAACUUAUUUUGUUGCCAAUUAUUGUUUACCGAGUAUAAUGUUGCUAUUUAGCAAUGUGCUUGGUUUUAAAGAAAUUCUCCUUGGGAAAAAAGUAUCCUCUUUUAAUUUUACUUCCCAUAAGCGUAAAUGCCUGGACAUAGCUCUUGUGCAACCUUUAAAUAAAUUGUUUUGAGUGUUUUUUGAGCCCCAGACAAAUAAUGUUUUAAAGUUAUCCCCUUGCUACUUUACUGAUACCUUUAUCAUUCCUGAGACAGUUUGCUAAUUUAAAAAUGUAGCAUUCCAUUUGUAUUUAUUUCUCUCCCUUGCCAAAAAGAUUUUCUAAUACUGCUUGUACCAGCCAGAGAAAGAUCCAAAACACUACUCAGCUCUCUUGCACUGAGGAAAUUUUUCCCCCUACAUUGACUCCUGGCCUACAUCAGCCAAACUUAACCUUGGUGGGGUUUGGAUUUGAUAGCCAAUUAGUUCUGUGCUGGUUGCAAAGAAUUGAUAUUUAGAUGGUUUUUAAUACUCAGCAGAUUGUCUUCCUUUAUAUUGUGUCUUUUUUAUGUUGCAUGUUGCUUUUGUUAUCAGCCUGAUUUUUUGCUCAGUAUAUGAUAGUUCUGCUGAUGUUUUGUUUAUUGGGCAGACAUAUCUUCAUUAAGAGUUUUUGGAAAACUCAUCAAAUUCGAUGAAUACAUUUUCUUCAUAACCCAUU